rnacentral:rRNA from 1 species
GAGUUUGAUCCUGGCUCAGGAUGAACGCUAGCGGCAGGCUUAACACAUGCAAGUCGAGGGGCAGCGCAGGUAGCAAUACUGGGCGGCGACCGGCAAACGGGUGCGGAACACGUACGCAAUCUACCUUUAUCUGGGGUAUAGCCCGGAGAAAUCCGGAUUAACCCCCCAUAAUAUAUAGGAGUGGCAUCACUCAAAUAUUAAAACUCAGGUGGAUAAAGAUGAGCGUGCGUCCCAUUAGCUAGUUGGUAGGGUAACGGCCUACCAAGGCGACGAUGGGUAGCUGGUGUGAGAGCACGACCAGCCACACGGGCACUGAGACACGGGCCCGACUCCUACGGGAGGCAGCAGUGAGGAAUAUUGGUCAAUGGACGCAAGUCUGAACCAGCCAUGCCGCGUGAAGGAUGAAGGCCUUCUGGGUUGUAAACUUCUUUUAUUGGGGAAGAAACUAUGGUUUCUACUAUAGCCGACGGUACCCAAGGAUAAGCACCGGCUAACUCCGUGCCAGCCGCCGCCUUAAG